CAACCCUUAAGCUUAGCUUAGUAUUGGGAAUCUGCUUAACCGCAGCUCCUUAAAUCUAGUUGGCAGAGCACAGCUGUACUCUGAGCGUAGUAAUUCAUUAUCUCGCUUUCUGAAGACAGUCGUACGAUCGCCACAAACCUAUUUAUUUUUAAUGG
rnacentral:misc_RNA from 1 species